rnacentral:tRNA from 1 species
GGGUUGUUAGGGGAGCGGUCAAACCCAUCGGACUGUAAAUCCGCGCCUAUGGCUACCGUGGUUCGAAUCCACGCCAACCCA